CCCGGGGCUACAACCGUACGGUAAUUGCUAUUUAGAAACGUGGACAAACUAGAGUACUGUAGGAGGGGGUAGAAUUUCAGGUGUAGCGGUGAAAUGCGUAGAGAUCUGAAGGAAUACCGGUGGCGAAGGCGGCCCCCUGGACAGAUACUGACACUCAGAUGCGAAAGCGUGGGGAGCAAACAGGAUUAGAUACCCUGGUAG
rnacentral:rRNA from 1 species